UAAAUUCCAUUCAUAUCUCACGAUUCUCCCUUACGAGUUAGGGUUAUUUUCGUUCUAACUUCUAACCCUUCUAGUUCCGGCCUUCCUUCUCAUACUCCGAUGGUGCGACCGAUGACCUGUAGCAGCCAUGACCGACGACCUUUGGCAGCCACGACCGACGUCGACCAACGGUGAAUCACGAUGACCGGUGGCUGUCGUUCGGAUUUCCUUCCUCAAAAAGGCUUCAUCUACGGCGGUGAGCAACAAGGAACAACUGCGGAUUUCCUUCAUUUUCUCAUCAGCAGCAACAAGGAGCAACAAGAACAAUGGCGGCCAAUGAUUUUACAUAACUUUGGUGUGCAAAUGUGUUCAUCGACAGAAUUGGCUCCAACUUCAGAGGUUCGUGGGGUGUCUUUUUCUUGGUUUUCGGUCUCGCUGAGGAAGAAAAGGAAGAAGAAAGAAAAUGGUAGAAAUUGUCGUUCCACUUGCGGAGGAGUACGAGAGGAGGAUCAGGGUUUCGAAAGACGAUGAGAUUGAUUUGGUUUCUUGUGUGUCAGUUCUGGCAUGGCCGAUUGAUGCGUUCUCCUGGGCGAAGAAAGCUGCGGAGGAUAGGUUUCAGCUUGCAAAGAGGGUUAGAACCCAAGACUGGUUUGGGUCUUGCUACCAUCAAUGGGCUCUUUUCGGCCUGAGCCUCAACCUUUCGUUGUGACAGUUAACAACUGAUAUAAUGAUUUUUUUUCCGUCCUUAAUUUGUAAGUUCUGUUUUAUUUCCUUCUGCCAUGGAAUCUGUACAUAUUAAUUUCUAAAGGUUUAUAAAUUUGAAGUUACCAAGA